rnacentral:rRNA from 1 species
UACGUAGGGGGCAAGCGUUAUCCGGAAUUAUUGGGCGUAAAGAGCGCGCAGGUGGUUAAUUAAGUCUGAUGUGAAAGCCCACGGCUUAACCGUGGAGGGUCAUUGGAAACUGGUUGACUUGAGUGCAGAAGAGGGAAGUGGAAUUCCAUGUGUAGCGGUGAAAUGCGUAGAGAUAUGGAGGAACACCAGUGGCGAAGGCGGCUUCCUGGUCUGCAACUGACACUGAGGCGCGAAAGCGUGGGGAGCAAACAGG